AUUGAACGCUGGCGGCAGGCCUAACACAUGCAAGUCGAACGAGUGGCGGACGGGUGAGUAAUGUCUGGGAAACUGCCCGAUGGAGGGGGAUAACAACUGGAAACGGUAGCUAAUACCGCAUACCAUCGGAUGUGCCCAGAUGUGAGUGGCUAGUAGGUGGGGUAACGGCUCACCUAGGCGACGAUCCCUAGCUGGUCUGAGAGGAUGACCAGCCACACUGGAACUGAGACACGGUCCAGACUCCUACGGGAGGCAGCAGUGGGGAAUAUUGCACAAUGGGCGCAAGCCUGAUGCAGCCAGGUCGCGUGUAUGAAGAAGGCCUUCGGGUUGUAAAGUACUUUCAGCGAGGAGGCGUUACUCGCAGAAGAAGCACCGGCUAACUCCGUGCCAGCCGCCGCGGUAAUAC
rnacentral:rRNA from 1 species